CCUACGGGGGGUAGCAGUGAGGAAUAUUGGUCAAUGGGCGAGAGCCUGAACCAGCCAAGUCGCGUGAGGGAAGACGGUCCUAUGGAUUGUAAACCUCUUUUGCCGGGGAGCAAAAAGCGGUACGUGUACCGCAUCGAGAGUACCCGGAGAAAAAGCAUCGGCUAACUCCGUGCCAGCAGCCGCGGUAAUACGGAGGAUGCGAGCGUUAUCCGGAUUUAUUGGGUUUAAAGGGUGCGCAGGCGGCGAGUUAAGUCAGCGGUAAAAUUUCGGGGCUCAACCCCGACAAGCCGUUGAAACUGGCUUGCUAGAGUGGGCGAGAAGUAUGCGGAAUGCGUGGUGUAGCGGUGAAAUGCAUAGAUAUCACGCAGAACUCCGAUUGCGAAGGCAGCGUACCGGCGCCCAACUGACGCUCAGGCACGAAAGCGUGGGUAUCGAACAGGAUUAGAUACCCGAGUAGUC
rnacentral:rRNA from 1 species